rnacentral:rRNA from 1 species
AUGAACGCUGGCGGCGUGCCUAAUACAUGCAAGUCGAGCGAACAGAUGAGGAGCUUGCUCCUCUGACGUUAGCGGCGGACGGGUGAGUAACACGUGGAUAACCUACCUAUAAGACUGGGAUAACUUCGGGAAACCGGAGCUAAUACCGGAUAAUAUAUUGAACCGCAUGGUUCAAUAGUGAAAGACGGUUUUGCUGUCACUUAUAGAUGGAUCCGCGCCGCAUUAGCUAGUUGGUAAGGUAACGGCUUACCAAGGCAACGAUGCGUAGCCGACCUGAGAGGGUGAUCGGCCACACUGGACCUGAGACACGGUCCAGACUCCUACGGGAGGCAGCAGUAGGGAAUCUUCCGCAAUGGGCGAAAGCCUGACGGAGCAACGCCGCGUGAGUGAUGAAGGUCUUCGGAUCGUAAAACUCUGUUAUUAGGGAAGAACAAAUGUGUAAGUAACUAUGCACGUAUUGACGGUACCUAAUCAGAAAGCCACGGCUAACUACGUG